AAUGAACGUUGGCGGCAUGGAUUAGGCGUGCAAGUCGAGCGCGAAGAGUCUUUUGCUUGCAUUUGACUCUGAAAGCGGCGUAAGGGUGAGUAACGCGUAGUUACCUACCUCCGGGUCCGGAAUAGCUGCGGGAAACUGCAGGUAAUGCCGGAUAACAUCUCAGGAUCAAAGGUGAGAUUCCGCCCGGAGAGGGGACUGCGUCCUACUAGCUUGUUGGUGGGGUAAUGGCCUACCAAGGCUUCGAUGGGUAGCGGGCGUGAGAGCGUGGCCCGUCACACUGGGACUGAGACACUGCCCAGACACCUACGGGUGGCUGCAGUCGAGAAUCUUCGGCAAUGGGCGAAGGCCUGACCGAGCAAUGCCGCGUGCGGGAUGAAGGCCCUCGGGUUGUAAACCGCGAAAGUAAGGAGGAAGGACCUGCGAAGAGCAGGUUUUGACCGAUCUACAGUAAGGACGGGCUAAGUUCGUGC
rnacentral:rRNA from 1 species